AGUUCUGAGCUUGGCAAUGAGAAAGGAAGAAUUCCAUAGAGGCCGAGUUCUGGGGCAGCACGGUUUUGUCUCCCACUACUUUCCUCUCUUCCCUUUCUUCCCAUACUUGUCCCCUUGAGUUUUCUGGGAGACUUUUCAACUUCUCUGAGCCUCAGUUUCUUCAUCUAUAAAAUGGAGGUAGGAACGCCCCACUCAUGGACUGAGCGAGGCAGUGGAUGGGAACCGCCUGGCACAUAAAUGGCCAUUCUCAGAUUGGAUUCAAGUCUUAACAAAGCUGACAAAUGCUUAUCUUUCUCAUCACAACCACUGUAAUUACCCUAUGGGUGGAGAGACCUGGUGAGGAAACGGAGGCAUGGUGAGGUGAAGUGAUGUGCUCCAGGAUACUGUUUAGUCAUCUGUUGCUGUGUAUUAAAUUUAUAGCAACUUGGCAACUUACAACAACAAACACUUAUUAUCUCAUAGUUUCUGUGGGUCAGGAAUUGGAGAAUGGAACCGCUGGGUGGCUCUGGGCCAGGGGCUGCCAUGAGGCUGUCAUCAGGAUGUCAGCUGGUGCCACAGGCAUCUGGAGGCUUGGUGGAGCUGAAGACCUGCGUCCAGGAUGGUUCACUCACAUGGCUGCUGGCAAGAGGCCUCAGGGCUUUGUUUUCUGUCGACGGGACCCUCUCCUUGGGCUUGCUUGAGCAUCCUCAUGACAUGGCAACUCUUUCCCCAGAGCGCGUGAUCCAAGACAGACAGCAAAGUCAAAGCUUCGGACCUAGUCUUGGGAGUCACAUGCCAUCAUUUCCACUUUAUUCUGUUUGCUAGAAGUGGAUCACUAAAUCCAGCAGACACCCAAAGGAAGGAGAACUAAGUUUUAACUUUUGAAGGAAGUGUUAAAGAAUGCAUGGACACAUUUUAACACCACCGUAGUCAUGGACCUAGUAAGAUUUCUUGCUAGGAUUUAAAGCUAAGUCAUCUUGGUCCAGAAGCCUGGGGUCCUCCUGCUGCCUCGACAGGCCACCUUAUACCCUCAGGAGUGAUGUGACAUUGUUGGUCAGUCUCAGAUGUAAACAGGCAUCACCUGAGGGUGACUGGAGCAUCGAGAAUCAGGGAUGAGCUGCACCUGACCUAGAACUUAGGAUGUGUUUUUACUGGAAAACUGAUGGGUCAGAGAGGGGCCUGAGUGGCUAAGAUUAUCAGCUGUCCUCUGCUCACCUAUUGUCAGGGAACACUGAGGAGCACCGUCACUCAGACUGUCAGGAGUGAAGGGUGGGGGGUCCCAGUGUGUGUGUGUGUGUGUGUGUGUGUGUGUGUGUGUGUGUGUGUUGUAGGCAGCAGGCAUAGGGACUGUGCAGGACCUUGAAGGCUUUGGUAAGGAGUAUGGGUUUCAAACUGUGGGCAGGUGGAGCCAGCAUAGGGAUUCAAGCAAAAGAGUGACGAGGUCAGAGGCAACCUCUAGACAGGGCUGCAGGGUGGAGAGAGGUGGGCAGCUGAGGCUGGGCACCAGGUGGUGGGUCCAGGACACCAUGGCCAGGUCUGGUCCUGAGAAUGGAGAGGAGGCCUGUGGAGAAGACUGUUGCUGGGAUUUGGAGUCAAAUUGGCCUUGAGGUAGACGAGGAAGAGAAGCAUCCAGGGUGACACCUGCUUCAUUAGGUGCAAGUCAUGGCCAGGUGCUGGUGCCCUUGUGAGAAGAGGACUUAGAAGCAGAAGGAGCUGGAUGGGGGAGGAUGAAGAGUCCAGCUUUGAGGCGCCUAAGUGAGCUGCCUGGAGUUCAUUCAUGGGAGAGGACCAGAGCACUUGACUAUUUGUGUCUCGAGCUCAGUAGAGUCAGGGCUGGGGAGCAAGUCUGGGGAGGCAUUGGUACCCUUGUGGACUAGGGAACUGAGCAAGGUCUGUGGGGAAAGAGAGACUUGAACUUUAAAUCUUCUCUGAGCCUCAUCUUUCUCAGCUGUAAGUUGGGGAUAAGCAUUAUUCUGAAACCCAUGAAUGUAUAGUGUAUGCAGAGGGCUGUAGCAUACCACUCAGAUCCAUUCUGAGUCCUCUCCUCAUACCAGAAUGCCCAGGGAAUUGGGAGGAAUGUGGGUUCCCCUAGGGAAGCAGAGGAAGCUAGAAGUGGGGGGCUUCCCUCCAGAACUAGAUUAUGGGUGUAUCUGAUUCUUGCCAAAAACAGGGCCCUGCUCCCACCAGUUCCCAGAGCCUGGCUGUGACUCAUUUCUUCUGCCUUUGUUUUGACUGGUGCCUGAUGCAGCCUGGCUCUGCAAUGAUGCAGAUGCUGAUGCUGUUGCUAGGCAACCGAGCUACAGCACGAAUCCUGAGAGGCCUCUGUUCUGCUCACCCCCAACCCAGGGCUGCUGACAGUGGUUGAUUUGGAACUGGCUGGAAAAAUUGGAGAGGUUCUUAUGAGAGUCCACGGGUAUGUUAGGGCAAGGAGUGCAUAUGUGUGUGAUGGGGAGAGAAAGGCAGCAACGAUAACAACUUCCACUUACUGGGGGCUUGUUCUGUGCCAGUCACUGCAUGAAUUAACACAUUUCAUUUUGUAUAACAUAUAGCAGCCUCAGGAGGCAUGUUCUAAACUCUUCCCAUUUUACAGACAAGAAACCCAGGACUUAGAGAGGAAAGGGGGCUUAUCCAAGUCCACUUAAAUAUGAAGUGGUAAGGCUGAGAGGGAAACCUAGGCCUGUCUGAUUCCAGGGCUCCAGAGAGCACAAGGAAUUUGGCUUUGAUUUCUUCCCUGCUCCAUCCAUUGUCCACUGCAACACGUUCUCUGCAACACAACCAGGGGUUUGUUUGGAAAACAUGAAGCAAAUCAUGUUGUCCUCCAGCCAUGGCUCACCCUCAGGCAUCACACUCCUUCCUCUCCAUGCCCUCAUUCCUUCUUUGCUGUUUCUCCUUCCUUUUCUCUGAGUGUCAUGAUCUUCUUGCUUCAGAGCAGGUGACUUCCUCACCUUGAUCUUGGUCAUUCUCCCCCCUCCUUCAGGUUUCAGUUCAGAUCCCCCUCAUCCCCGCAGCCUACCUUCCUACCCUGAAGCCAUGGGGUCUUUCUUCUCCCAGGACCCCAUCCACCACCCUCUGCCAUUCACAGGGCUCUCCUCUAUCAGGCGCUGGGUUCCAGUCUUGUUCGCCCCAUUAUCUACCCCAACACCUGGCCCAGGACCCGGCACACAGGAGAGGGGAGAGGCCGUUUAGUACUUUUUGAAUGAAUGAGGAUCUGAAAAGUGAACGUUAGAAUUUGUGAAGUGAGCCUUCUGGGGUCUUUGGUCUUACAUUGAUUUGAGAGGAAGCAGCUCACUAAUAUUUCUCUGUCUCUAUUCUGGGCCAGACAUUUAGCUGAGGGUCUAUUGCAUGUUACUAAAUAAGUGCUCUGGCCUUGCAAACAGCCCAUCCUGCAGGUGAGGAAUCUGUGCAAACAGCCCAUCCUGCAGGUGAGGAACCUGAGGCUCAGAGACCGGAAGUGACUUGCCCCAGGUGGCACAGCUUGUGAUCAUGGUGCCAGGAUCCAAGCCCGAGUCCACCAGUGCCAUGGCUCUGCUAGGAAGCCCCAGGUCUCUUUGAAGGGCAGUUAAAAUAAAACUGCACAGAAAUAAGA